rnacentral:misc_RNA from 1 species
AAACUUUUCUUACCUGCAACCACUAAGUAGGAAGAAUAAAAAAAGAUCCAUGACAAACAGCAGAGAUUGCUCUUGUUGUUGUCUACUCUAAACUCCCACAGGAAAAGAAUGAUACUAACUCUGGCCAAGAAUCAGAUAGCUAACUAUCUGCCAAAUAAGCUGUCUUGUCAUGCCAUUCACCGUAAGAUGGUUGAGUUGUUUUCUCCAACAACCCAGUAUCUUUUGACAGCAAACAAUACCUUUUUAGAGAUAAGA